CCAAAUCAAAUGAAACAAACGCGUAACCCUCACCCUUGUUAGCUGCUUUUCCCUUCUUCUUCGCGCCCCCUCAUUGCCGCAAAACAGAGAAGACUCUGCACUCACCACUCCAGGAAGACUCCGCCAUCACCAGUCACCACUCACGGUGUCACCACUCCAGGAAGACUCUGCACUCACUCAUCUUCACCAUUCACGACGCCGUCACUCGUCUUCACCGUACCGGCGCUUCUCUUCUCUGUGCGCUCACAUCAGGACGACACUGCUUUCUUCAUUCGGUCACCAUCGUCGAAAAGGAUAAUUCUGAAGAUGCGAGUGAAGAUUGAGAUGCUUAUCAUGAUGGUUUAUUGACAAAGAUGGAAAUUGAAAGAUGUAUGGUUGAUGAUGAUGUCUGUUAUUAGAAGCUAAGAUACAUUUAUAUGAUAUAAUAUUUUGGUUUUUCCUAGUUUAUUAGUAGUAAACUCUAAGUGCAUUAUAUGAGUAUACUUGUUCUAAUUUGAGAUGUAUGAAUACUCAAAAUUAUGAUCA